CGAGAAGGCAGCUACACGGCGACGUGAUGCUAAUCCCCAAAACCUCUCUCAGUUCGGAUUGGAGUCUGCAACCUGACUCCAUGAAGCUGGAUUCGCUAGUAAUCGCGCAUCAGCCACGGCGCGGUGAAUACGUUCCCGGGCCUUGUACACACCGCCCCGUCAAGCCAUGAAAGCCGGGGGUACCUGAAGUCCGUAACCGUAAGGAGCGGCCUAGGGUAAAACUGGUAAUUGGGGCUAAGUCGUAACAAGGUAAC
rnacentral:rRNA from 1 species